rnacentral:rRNA from 1 species
GAUUCUGGCUCAGGAUGAACGCUGGCGGCGUGCUUAACACAUGCAAGUCGAACGGAGUUUUAAUGGAAGUCCUCGGAUGGAAGUUUAAAAACUAGUGGCGGACGGGUGAGUAACGCGUGGGUAACCUGCCUCAUACAGGGGGAUAACAGUCGGAAACGAUUGCUAAAACCGCAUAAUAUAGCGAAACCGCAUGAUUUUUGCUAUCAAAUAUUUAUAGGUAUGAGAUGGGCCCGCGUCUGAUUAGCUAGUUGGUGGGGUAAUGGCCUACCAAGGCGACGAUCAGUAGCCGGCUUGAGAGAGUGACCGGCCACAUUGGGACUGAGACACGGCCCAAACUCCUACGGGAGGCAGCAGUGGGGAAUAUUGGACAAUGGGGGAAACCCUGAUCCAGCGAACCGCCGCGUGAGUGAAGAAGUAUUUCGGUAUGUAAAGCUCUAUCAGCAGGGAAGAUAAUGACAGUACCUGACUAAGAAGCCCCGGCUAACUACGUGCCAGCAGCCGC